GGGGAGCCCCGGGGCCAUCCGGAUGAUGGACACACCUCCCCCAGGCUCCUUUAAAGAGUCCCCCGAAGGGAGGAGACAAGAGGGAAGGAGGGGUGCAGAGGUGAGGACCAAGGUGCGAGGUUUGAAGUAGGGAGCAGACGGCGUCUGGAUGAGCCUUUGCCAGAGACUGUUGGAAAUCCUGGUCGGCUUCUAAGGCCGCCCCAAAGGAUUUCUCAAAGCAGGCAACCCAGUCGCGGCUUUGCCUGCAGACUUUGCGCUUCCUCUCCGCGCGUGGGGCACCCCACGUGCCGUGCGCUCCGAAGGCGGCCGCGCACCAAGCUCUCCCCACCCCCUGCUCCCUGAGGGAUGCCAUGGGUCAACGGACUCGCCCUAGUCCCCCAUCUUUCCCAGCCUUGGGGUCCUAAGAAGGCGCCUACACCGCUCUCACGAUGCCUCCGGUGGAGUCAGGUAGCAGUCUGGAGAGAAUUUUCUUUCACUGGCAAGACCAGAAUGUCUUAUUGCCUCGAUCUUGCAUUCUCCUUUUCAUGCUAUCUCGAUGUCCACUCCUUCCCUCCCCGUAGCACCCCCGUGCGACUGCGGCACCGGCCUUCAAAUGCAGGGGCAGGGUUAAGGCUUGGUGGAGUGGGGUUCGACUUGGCAGGCAUUAUUUUAAACAGCAGUUUACACAUCCGACACCGGCAACCCAGCCCGUCAAAGGCAAGAAACAGAGAGGUGGAACAAAGGCUUGUGGCAGAUGUGGCUGGAACUUGCUAGAGACACUCUAACCACAGCAGCACGGCAGAAAGAAGGCUCAAGCCAGUCCUGGCUCUAGCCACUCCCAUCUCUAGCAUCUAGAUUAUCAUCGCAACCUUCUCCCCGUCAUUCUUUCAUGCCCUCGUGAUCCGGAACAAUUCCCCAAAGCAUUCUCUCCUUUUCACCAAGGCAUCCUUCAAACUCUAAAUGGAAACCUGGGGCCAACCUGGGCUACAUGAAACUAUUCUCCAAAAUCCUGGCUGGGGAAAUAUAGCUUAGAUGAUAAAGUGUUGGCAUGCACGAAAGCCCAAAUCAAAUAAACUGGGCUUAGUGAUCCA
rnacentral:lncRNA from 1 species